GCUGCUGCUCUUCUCUCUCUUUCAUGUUGAGUUUCUUGGUUCAAACAUGGCUUUCCCACCGACAGUUAGAGUUAGAAUCAAAUAUGGGUACAUUCCAUGAAAUCAAUACCAGCGCUCAAUCUUCUAUUGUGGCAGGGAUUGAUUUGAGGACGGUGGAGCUGCAAAAGCUGAUCUGGGCUGGCGAACAUGUUGCUGGGCUUGAGUUUUCGGCUUUAGCUUGAUUCCUUCCUGGUGUUUUUUUUUUCUUUCUAUUUUUUCUUUUCCUUCUACACUUGUUGGUUGUUUUUCUCUCACCGCAGUUUUUAGGCUUUCUUGAUUUCAACCAAAAAUAAAAGGGUGUUGUAAAGAAUGUGUUAGAGCCCACAUAAAGAAAAGAAGAGAAUAAUGGUGAAGUUUGUCUGCCAACACCCAAGUGAAGCCAAAGGAAUAUGAGUAAGCAGCCACAUAAUUCUGCCUACAAAUAAGGCUUCCCCCUUCCUUUGCUGCAUAGACCAUCUGAGAAGAAAUGAGGGCCCAGACAGAGAGGAAAGAAAGAAGAGAAGGAAGAAAGAAGUGAGAGGAGAGAAAAAAAGAGCAAAGAGAAAUUCUCCAAGAGAGAAAAAUCAAUGAGCCACAUAUAUUGUAAACACUAUAGUUAUAGCCCUAUUACUUCACAAAGUGGAAAAGUUGUUGUUGCUGCUCUCUGAGGACAUAGGCAUGGCCGAA